GCGGGUGUGGCGGAACUGGAAGACGCACCGGGCUCAAACCCCGGCGGCCGGAGACGGCCAUGGGAGUUCGACUCUCCCCGCCCGCA
rnacentral:tRNA from 1 species